rnacentral:rRNA from 1 species
CGCCGCGGUUAUACGAGAGGCUCAAGUUGAUAAUUCCCGGCGUAAAGAGUGGUUAAAAAAACAUAUAUUAAAGCCGAACACCUUCAAGGCUGUUAUACGCACCCGAAGAAAUGAAGAGCUUUUACGAAAGUAGCUUUAAACCUUUUGACCCCACGAAAGCUAAGAUA